GCUCCCAUGGCGUGGUCACUGCACUCGCCUUGCACGCGGGAGACCCGGGUUCGAUUCCCGGCGGGGUCA
rnacentral:tRNA from 1 species